UUUCGAAUCAUUCACAAUGGGCGAAAGCCUGAUGGUGCGACGCCGCGUGAGGGAUGAAGGUCUUCGGAUUGUAAACCUCUGUCACCGGGGAAGAAACGCUUCAAUUUAACAGAUUGAAGCCUGACUUAACCCGGAGAGGAAGCAGUGGCUAACUCUGUGCCAGCAGCCGCGGUAAUACAGAGACUGCAAGCGUUAUUCGGAUUCACUGGGCGUAAAGGGUGCGCAGGCGGCCAGAUGUGUCAGGUGUGAAAGCCCGGGGCUUAACCCCGGAAUUGCGCCUGAAACUGUCUGGCUAGAGUACUGGAGAGGGUAGCGGAAUUCACGGUGUAGCAGUGAAAUGCGUAGAUAUCGUGAGGAACACCAGAGGCGAAGGCGGCUACCUGGACAGUAACUGACGCUCAGGCACGAAAGCGUGGGGAGCAAAAGGG
rnacentral:rRNA from 1 species